UAUACUUCCAAGGGACUCUCUCAUCACCAAUUUAAUCAUUGUGGUUCAAUAGUUGCUCAAACUAAUAUGCAUAUUUCAAUGCAUUAAAGGUCGAUGCCACUUUAGACCAGCUGUAGUUGCUCUGACUAAGCCGAUGCAGAAAUGUUUAAUUUUUUUA